rnacentral:rRNA from 1 species
CUUAAAUAUUUGUAGUAAUAAUCUUAAAAUUUAAAGAAUUUGGCGGUAUUUUAGUCUAGUUAGAGGAACCUGUUUUUUAAAUGAUACACCACACAACAUCUUACUUUAGUUUGUAUACCAUCAUUAUUAGAUAAUUUUUAUAAAAAAAUGUCGGAAUUGUAAUCUAUAAAUAUAUUAGAUCAAGGUGCAGCUUAUGAAAAAGUUAAAAUGGGUUACAGUAAGAUUUAUUUAUGGAUUAAAUUAUAUGAAAUAGGAUUUAAUUGUAUAAAAUUAUAUUAAGGUUUUAAUAUAUAAGCUCUAAAUUAUGU